rnacentral:rRNA from 1 species
UACGUAGGGUGCAAGCGUUAAUCGGAAUUACUGGGCGUAAAGCGUGCGCAGGCGGUUUUGUAAGUCUGUCGUGAAAUCCCCCGGGCUCAACCUGGGAAUUGCGAUGGAGACUGCAAGGCUAGAAUCUGGCAGAGGGGGGUAGAAUUCCACGUGUAGCGGUGAAAUGCGUAGAGAUCGGGAGGAACACCAGUGGCGAAGGCGGCCUUCUGGACCAGCACUGACACUCAAGCACGAAAGCGUGGGGAGCAAACAGG